rnacentral:rRNA from 1 species
AUUGAACGCUGGCGGCAGGCCUAACACAUGCAAGUCGAACGAGUGGCGGACGGGUGAGUAAUGCCUGGGAAACUGCCUGAUGGAGGGGGAUAACUACUGGAAACGGUAGCUAAUACCGCAUACCAUCAGAAGUGCCCAGAUGGGAUUAGCUUGUUGGUGGGGUAACGCCUCACAAAGGCGACGAUACCUAGCUGGUCUGAGAGGAUGACCAGCCACAUGGGGACUGAGACACGGGCCAGACUCCUACGGUAGGCAGCAGUGGGGAAGAUGGCGCAAGGGGCGCAAACCUGAUGCAGCCAUGCCGCGUGUAUGAAGAAGGCCUUCGGGUUGUAAAGUACUUUCAGCGGUGAGGCGUUACCCGCAGAAGAAGCACCGGCUAACUCCGUGCCAGCAGCCGCGGUAAUAC